UUUUUUUUCUAUUUUUUUUUCAGUCUCUAAUUCAUUUAUUUCUGUUCAGAUCUUUAUGAUUUCUUUUUUUCUACUGAUUUUGGGUUUUGUUUGUUCUUCUUUCUCAAGUCCCUUUAAGUGUAAAGUUAGGUUGUUUAAUUGAGAUUUUUCUUAUUUCCUGUGGUGAGCUUAUAUUGUUAUAAACUCCCCUCUUAGAAUUGCUUUUGCUGUGUGCCAGUUUUUGAUCAUGUCUUUGCUUUCAUUUAUCUCUAAGUGUUUUUUUUAUUUCCUCUUUUAUUUCUUCAAUGAUCCAUUGGUUACUUAGUAGCAGAUUGUUUAGCCUCUGUGUGUGUGUGUGUGUGUGUGUGUGUGUGUGUUUGCAGUUUUUUCUUAUAGUUGAUUUCUAGUCUCAUAGUGUUGUGCUUAGAAAAGAUGCUUGAUGUGAUUUUAAUUUUCUUAAAUUUACCAAGGCUUAUUUAGUGGCCUAGCAUGUGAUCUGUCCUGGAGAAUGUUCCAUGCGAAAAAAAGGUGCAUUCUGCUACUUUUGGAUAUAUAAGAAUAUACAAUGGAGAAGAGACAGUCUCUUCAAUAAGUGUUGCUGGGAAGACUGGACAGUUUCAUGUAAAAGAAUGAAAUCAGAAAUUCUCUAACACUAUAUACAAAAAUAAACUCAAAGUGGAUUAAAGACCUAAAUGUAAGACUUAAUACUAUAAAAUGCCUAGAGGAAAACAUAGGCAGAACACUUUUUGACAUAAAUUACAGCAAUAUUUUUCCGGAUCUGUCUCCUAAAGUAAAGGAAAUAAAAGCAAAAAUAAACAAACGGGACCUAGUUAAACUUAGAAGCUUUUGUACAGCAAAGGAAAUUAUUAACAAAAUGAAAAGACAGCCUACUAAAUGGGAGAAAAUAUUUGCAAAUGAUACAGCCAAUAAAAGAUUAAUAUCCAACAUAUAUAAACAGCUCAUACAACCCAACAUAAAAACCCAAACAACCCAAUUAAAACAUAGGCAGAAGACCUGAACAGAUUUUUUUUCAUAAGAGAAAUGCAGCUGGCCAACAGACAUGUGAAAAUAUACACAACAUUGCUAAUCAAAAUUGCUAAUCAACAUUGCUAAUAAAAAUUUCGAUUUCAACUCACAUCUGUCAGGAUGGCUAGCCUUUAAAAUAACACAGACAACAAAUGUUGGAAAGGAUGUGGAGAAAAGAGGACCCUCCCACACUAUGGUGGGAAUGCAAAUUGCUGCAGCCACUGGAGAAAACAGGAUGGCGAUUUCUCAAAAAACUGAAAAGAAAACCACCAUAUAACCCAGCAAUUCCACUUCGGGGUCUACAUCCGAAAAAAGAAACACUGCACACUACUAAUUCCAAAAGAUGCAUGCACCUCAAUGUUCACAGCAGCCUUAUUGACAAGCGCCAAGGUAUGAGAGCAAUCUAAGUGUCCAUCAACAGGUGGAGGGAUAAAGACAAGGUGGUAUAUGGACACAACGGAAUAUUAGUCAGCCAUAAAAAAGAACAGAAAUGUCCCAUCUGUAGCAACAUGGAUGGACUUCAAGGGCAUGAUGCUAAGUGAAGUAAGUCAGAGAGAGAAAGACAAAGGCUGUAUGAUGUCGCUUAUAUGUGGAAUCUUAAAAAAAUACCACAAACUAGUGAGCAUAGCAAAAAAAGAAGCAGACUCACAGAGAAGAAACUAGUGCUUUCCAGUGAGGAGGGGGAGGGUGGAAGUUACAAACCAUCGAGUAGACUUCAAGGAAUGCUGUACCAUGCGGGGACUACAGCUGAUAUUUUGUAAUAACUGUAAAUGGAGUGUGACUUUUACAAAUUGUAUUAAAAAUUUUUUUUUAAAUAAAGGCAAAAAACCCCAAAACAACACAGAUACAUUGACCACCGGAAAACAAUAGAGAGCCCAGAAAUGAACCCAUUCACAUACAUUCAACUAACAUGUGACAAGGACACCAAAAUCACACAACGGGGAAAGGUAGACCCUUUAAUAAAUGGUAUUGGGAAAACACGAUAUCCACAGGCAAAAGAAUGAAACUGGAUUCUUACCUUAUACCAUUCACAAAAAUGAAUUCAAAAUGGACCAAAGACUUAAAUGUAAGACCGGAAACUAAACGUCCCAGCGGAAAGCCCAGGGGAAAAGCCCCUUGACAUUGGUCUUGACAGUGACUUCUUAGAUAUGUGACACCAGAAGCACAGGCAAUAAAAGCAAAUAAACCAGAGACUACAGAAGGUGAAAGAAUCUCUGCACAGCCAAAGAAACCGUCAACAAAAUGCAAAGGCCACCUACCAAAUGGGGGACACCAUUUGCAAACCAUAUAUCUGAUCAGAGGCCAAUAACUGGAACUUAUAAGGAAUUCAAUAGCCAAGAUACAAAUAACUUCAUCAAAAAACAAGCAGAUGACCUGAGCAGAUAUUUUUCCAAAGGAGACAUACAGGUGGCCAACGGGUACCUGAAAAUACAGAUGUUCAAUAUCAUGAACCACCAGGGAAAAGCAAAUCAAAACUACCAGGAGAUCACAUUUCAUCUGUUUGAAUGGCUAUUAUCAAAAAGACAAGAAGUAACGAGCAUCGGCAAGAAGGGGCAAAAUCGGAAACCUGUGUGCAUUGCUGGUGGGAACGCAAAUGAGUGCAGCUGCUACAGUAAACAGUAGGGAUGUUUCUCAAAAACUAAAAUUAGAACUACCACGUGAUCCAGCAAUUCCACUAGUGGGUAUUUAUCUGAAGAAAUGAAAACACUAGCCCAAAAGGUACCCACAUCCCAUGUUCAUUGCAGCAUCAUUCCCAAUAGCCAAGAUGUGGAAACAACUUAGGUGCCCAUUGACAGGGGGAUGGGUAAAGGAACGGUGGCUUAGAUGUAUGAUGGAGUAUUAUUCAGCCAUAAAGAAAAAGGAAAUCCCGUAUAAUGUAAUAUGUUCAAUGGAAUAUUAUCCGGCCAUAAAGAAGCAAAUCCUGUACAAUGUAAUGGGCACAGUGGAAUAUUAUUCAGCCAUAAAAAAGAAAGAAAUCCUGCUAUUUGGGACAACGUGGAUGAGUCUGGUGGACAUUAUGUUAUGUGAAAUAAACUGGACAAACUAAGACAAUUACUCUCACAUGGUAUCACUUAAAAUGUGGAGUCUGGAAAAAAAAAGGGGGGAGCCCAUGGGAACUGAAAAUAGAAUUCUAGUUGCCAGGACCUUGGAAGUGAAGAUACGUGUUCAACGUACAAAGUUCCAGUUAAAGAUGAAAAAGUGUUGGAGACUAAUGUCCAGCAUGGCGCCCGUGGUUAACUCUAAUGUGUUGCAGGCUUGAAAGUUGCUAAGAGAGUAGAUCUUAACCCUUCCCAUCUCAGAGGUAAAAGGUAAAACACUGUCAGGUGAUGGGUGUGUAAAUUAACUUGAUUAUGGCCAGUAUUUCAUAACGUACAGGUAUCCCAAACCAUCACACUGUACACUUUUUAAUUUUUCUUUUUAUGGCUGCACCUGCAGGGUAUGGAAGGUCCUAGCUAGGGGUCGAAUUAUAACUGCAGCUGCCAUACUACACUACGGCCACAGCCACACAGGAUCUGAGCUGCAUCUGCAGCCUAUGCUGUGGCUUGCAGCAAUGCUGGAUCUUCAAUCCACUGAGCAAGGCAAAGGAUUGAACCUGAAUCCUCAGGGAGACGAUGUUAGGUUCUUAACCCACUAAGCCGCCACAGGAACUCCCCCAUAGUACACUUUAAAGGCACAUGAUUUUGUCAAUGAUAUCUCAGUAGAGCUGAGGGGUGGGGGAGAGAAGGAAAUUCUAACCAACAAACAAAUGCUUGGCAUCAUGCUCUGUAGGCAGGUGUGUUCUACCAGUUACCACCUCGUGGUGAAGCUUGGCCUGGAUCCUUACUAGUGAAGAAGAGAAUGGCUCAACCCUCCCGCUGGCCAUCAACGUUCUCAGAGACACCCAGCUCAGGCGAGGCUCCUCGGAGACAAUGAUGGGACGCGGCAAAGCACGGCCAUUUCAUCACUCCGUCUCAGCACAGACAGAAACAAGGGCGCCGUGUCAGCCAAGGCAUCCAGUCACCGAACACCAAACUGCCCCUCUCUUGGCUGAGAUAAGGGACAGCUGCUUCUUUUCCAAAGGCAGUUGCAUCUUCAUCUAGACUGCACAACAGGUCGAUGGUGAGCCCAAUCAUAGACACGCCUGCUUUCUGACAGGCUCCAAACCAUCUAGAGCACCUCCCUGCUUCCCUGGUCCCUCCCCCCAAACCUCCCAACCAAGCUCUCAUCAGACUGUCAGCAGUUCUUUCCAGCACUCUCUCAUCCACUCACCCCCAGGCUCCCCCCAUGUGUCUUCUUCCUCAAUGCUCAACUGCAGGCAUGAAGCUCCACCCCUCUGGGCGCAUCUGUAAAGUGGAGGAGCAGGAGUUCCCACUGUGGCUCAGUAGGUUAAGAACCUGACUGGUAUCCAUGAGGAUGUGGGUUCGAUCCCUGGCCUUGCUCAGUGGGUUAAGGAUCCGGAGUUGCCGUGAGCUGCGGUGUGGGUUGCAGAUGGGGCUUGGAUCCCGAGUUGCUGUGGCUGUGGUGCAGGCCAGCAGCUGCAGCUUUGAUUCGACCCCUAGCCUGGGAACUUCCAUAUGCUGUGGGUGCAGCCCUAAAAAGACACAAAUAAAAAUAAAAGAAUGGGGAGUUCCCGUCGUGGCGCAGUGGUUAACGAACCCAACUAGAAACCAUGAGGUGGCGGGUUCGAUCCCUGCCCUUGCUCAGUGGGUUAACGAUCUGGUGUUGCCGUGAGCUGUGGCAUAGGUUGCAGAUGCGGCUCAGAUCCAGCAUUGCUCUGGCCCUGGUGUAGGCCAGCGGCUUCAGCUCCGAUUAGACCCCUAGCCUGGGAACUUCCAUAUGCCGCGGGAGUGGCCCAAGAAAUGGCAAAAAGACAAAAUAAAUACAUAAAUAAAUAAAAUAAAUACAUCUCAAAAAAAAUAAAAUAAAAGAAUGGACAAGCAAUGGUGAGCUCAGUGAGGGCUGUGGCACACCAGACCCUCUAUCGCCGACAGGGGACACUUUUGCUAACAGGCUAGCCAGCUGGGCUCCUACCUGCUCUCAGAAACCGAGGAGAGGGGUUGGGGGUGGCGGCGGGGUUUGCGCUCUGCUCACCAGAGAGCCCAAGGCACAGACACUUGGCGCACAUUAUAUCCUGCCUUUUCAGAAGCAGCUUCCCCAGGGACCCCCAGAGCUGGUGGUGCUGUUAGGGGAGGAGGGAGUCCCCCAGAGAUAUCCUGGACCUCAGGGCAAGUGAGCCUUGGUGGCUCUUGGGGACAGCUGUGCAUCCCAGGGGUGGCUCUUGGGGACAGCUGU
rnacentral:lncRNA from 1 species